CAAUAACAAUGAUGCUUGAAAAACCGCACUGGAUGAAAGGCCUUUGAAAGGCUGACGAGUUCUCUCCGAGGUGGUUCGGAUUGACGAGCACUAUUUGACUGUGUGCCCGCUUGUCCUUUUUGUCCAUGCAGAGGGAAAUGCCAGUGCUGUGAUGUGGAAUUCUUGCUAGGAUCAGGCGCUUGCUGUCAAAGCUAAUCAGCCAACACUUACCGAAGCCUAAUCAGCCUUCAGCACACCUAAAACAUGACCCCCAGCCGUGUCACAACUAAAAUCUGCAUGAUGAAAUAAUCUACAGGGACUAUUCUUUGCAGAUGUGGGCCACAAAAGCACGGAUGCGCAGUAACGUUUCUUUAUGUUGUUGCUUUGAAACCGUCUAUAAAUAAGAAAUUCUGAU